CAUGGCAUGUCCAGCUCGUGUUGUGAAAUGUUGGGUUAAGUCCCGCAACGAGCGCAACCCUUAUCCUUUGUUGCCAGCGGUUCGGCCGGGAACUCAAAGGAGACUGCCAGUGAUAAACUGGAGGAAGGUGGGGAUGACGUCAAGUCAUCAUGGCCCUUACGAGUAGGGCUACACACGUGCUACAAUGGCGUAUACAAAGAGAAGCGACCUCGCGAGAGCAAGCGGACCUCAUAAAGUACGUCGUAGUCCGGAUUGGAGUCUGCAACUCGACUCCAUGAAGUCGGAAUCGCUAGUAAUCGUAGAUCAGAAUGCUACGGUGAAUACGUUCCCGGGCCUUGUACACACCGCCCGUCACACCAUGGGAGUGGGUUGCAAAAGAAGUAGGUAGCUUAACCUUCGGGAGGGCGCUACCACUUGAU
rnacentral:rRNA from 1 species